AGUGAACGCUGGCGGUAGGCCUAACACAUGCAAGUCGAACGGCAGCACAGUAGAGCUUGCUCUUACGGGUGGCGAGUGGCGGACGGGUGAGGAAUACAUCGGAAUCUACUUUUUCGUGGGGGAUAACGUAGGGAAACUUACGCUAAUACCGCAUACGACCUACGGGUGAAAGCAGGGGAUCUUCGGACCUUGCGCGAUUGAAUGAGCCGAUGUCGGAUUAGCUAGUUGGCGGGGUAAAGGCCCACCAAGGCGACGAUCCGUAGCUGGUCUGAGAGGAUGAUCAGCCACACUGGAACUGAGACACGGUCCAGACUCCUACGGGAGGCAGCAGUGGGGAAUAUUGGACAAUGGGCGCAAGCCUGAUCCAGCCAUACCGCGUGGGUGAAGAAGGCCUUCGGGUUGUAAAGCCCUUUUGUUGGGAUAGAAAAGCAGCAGGUUAAUACCCCGCUGUUCUGACGGUACCCAAAGAAUAAGCACCGGCUAACUUCGUG
rnacentral:rRNA from 1 species